CAGUAGCCGCGGUAAUACGGGGGGGGCAAGUGUUAUUCGGAAUGACUGGGCGUAAAGGGCACGUAGGCGGUGAAAAGGGUGGAAAGUGAAAGUCGCCAAAACACUGGCGGGGUGCUUUCUUGACCAUUUCACUUGAGUGAGAUAGGGGAGAGUGGAAUUUCGUGUGGAGGGAUCAAAUCCUAAGAUAUACGAAGGAACGCCAACCGCGAAGGCAGCUCUCUGGGUCCCCACUGACGCUGGGGUGCGAAAGCAUGGGGAGCAAACAGGAUCAGAUACCCGUGUAGUCCCUGUCUCUUAUACA
rnacentral:rRNA from 1 species